GAUGAACGCUAGCGGCAGGCUUAAUACAUGCAAGUCGAGGGGUCAGCAAUGACACCGGCGGACGGGUGCGUAACGCGUAUGCAACCUACCUACAUCAGGGGGAUAGCCCUAGGAAACUGGGAUUAACACCGCAUAAUAGUAUUGAUGGCAUCAUUGAUAUUUGAAAUAUUUAUAGGAUGUAGAUGGGCAUGCGUAAGAUUAGCCAGUUGGUAAGGUAACGGCUUACCAAGGCUACGAUCUUUAGGGGCUCUGAGAGGAGUAUCCACCACACUGGCACUGAGAUACGGGCCAGACUCCUACGGGAGGAAGCAGUAGGGAAUAUUGGGCAAUGGAGGCAACUCUGACCCAGCCAUGCCGCGUGCAGGAAGACGGCCCUCUGGGUUGUAAACUGCUUUUGAAUGGGAAGAAUGUGAUGUUUGCGAGCAUUAAUGACGGUACCAUUAGAAUAAGCCACGGCUAACUACGUGCCAGCAGCCGCCGUAAGAC
rnacentral:rRNA from 1 species